rnacentral:rRNA from 1 species
UACGUAGGGGGCAAGCGUUGUUCGGAUUCAUUGGGCGUAAAGGGUGCGUAGGCGGCGCGGUAAGUCGGGCGUGAAAUCUCGGAGCUUAACUCCGAAACUGCAUUCGAUACUGCCGUGCUUGAGGACUGGAGAGGAGACUGGAAUUUACGGUGUAGCGGUGAAAUUCGUAGAUAUUCGCAAGAACACCAGUGGCGAAGGCGGCUCACUGGCCCGAUACUGACGCUGAGGCACGAAAGCGUGGGGAGCAAACAGG